GAUGAACGCUGGCGGCGUGCUUAACACAUGCAAGUCGAACGGAAAGGCCCAAGCUUGCUUGGGUACUCGAGUGGCGAACGGGUGAGUAACACGUGGGUGAUCUGCCCUGCACUUCGGGAUAAGCCUGGGAAACUGGGUCUAAUACCGGAUAGGACCACUUCUUGGAUGUUGUGGUGGAAAGUUUUUUCGGUGUGGGAUGUGCUCGCGGCCUAUCAGCUUGUUGGUGGGGUAAUGGCCUACCAAGGCGUCGACGGGUAGCCGGCCUGUGAGGGUGUACGGCCCCAUUGGGGCUGGGAGACGGCCCCGACUCCUCCGGGGGGGAGCAGUGGGGAAUAUUGCACAAUGGGCGCAAGCCUGAUGCAGCGACGCCGCGUGGGGGAUGACGGCCUUCGGGUUGUAAACUCCUUUCGCUAGGGACGAAGCGUUUUUGUGACGGUACCUGGAGAAGAAGCACCGGCUAACUACGUG
rnacentral:rRNA from 1 species